rnacentral:rRNA from 1 species
UACGUAGGGCGCAAGCGUUGUCCGGAUUUAUUGGGCGUAAAGAGCUCGUAGGCGGCUUGUCGCGUCGACUGUGAAAACCCGUGGCUCAACCAUGUGGUCUGCAGUCGAUACGGGCAGGCUAGAAUUCGGUAGGGGAGACUGGAAUUCCUGGUGUAGCGGUGAAAUGCGCAGAUAUCAGGAGGAACACCGGUGGCGAAGGCGGGUCUCUGGGCCGAUAUUGACGCUGAGGAGCGAAAGCGUGGGGAGCGAACAGG